UAGCUCAGUGGUUAAGCAUUUGGCUACUAACCAAAAGGUGGGUGGUUUGAACCCACC
rnacentral:tRNA from 1 species